rnacentral:rRNA from 1 species
AGUGAACGCUGGCGGUAGGCCUAACACAUGCAAGUCGAACGGCAGCACAGUAAGAGCUUGCUCUUACGGGUGGCGAGUGGCGGACGGGUGAGGAAUACAUCGGAAUCUACUUUUUCGUGGGGGAUAACGUAGGGAAACUUACGCUAAUACCGCAUACGACCUACGGGUGAAAGCAGGGGAUCUUCGGACCUUGCGCGAUUGAAUGAGCCGAUGUCGGAUUAGCUAGUUGGCGGGGUAAAGGCCCACCAAGGCGACGAUCCGUAGCUGGUCUGAGAGGAUGAGCAGCCACACUGGAACUGAGACACGGUCCAGACUCCUACGGGAGGCAGCAGUGGGGAAUAGUGGACAAUGGGCGCAAGCCUGAUCCAGCCAUACCGCGUGGGUGAAGAAGGCCUUCGGGUUGUAAAGCCCUUUUGUUGGGAAAGAAAAGCAGCAGGUUAAUACCCCGCUGUUCUGACGGUACCCAAAGAAUAAGCACCGGCUAACUUCGUG